ACGAACGCUGGCGGCGUGCUUAACACAUGCAAGUCGAACGGAAAGGCCCUGCUUUUGUGGGGUGCUCGAGUGGCGAACGGGGGAGUAACACGUGAGUAACCUGCCCUUGACUUUGGGAUAACUUCAGGAAACAGGGGCGAAUACCGGAGAGGAGCUCCUGCUGCAUGGUGGGGGAUGGAAAGUUUCGGCGGUUGGGGAAGGACUCGCUCCGUAUCAGCUUGUUGGGGGGGUAGUGGCGUACACAGGCUAUGACGGGCAGCCGGCGUGGGAGGGUGACCGGGCACACUGGAAGUGAGACACGGUCCAGACUCCUACGGGCGGGAGCAGGAGGGACUCUCCGGCAAUGGGCGGAAGCCUGACGGAGCAACGCCGCGCGAGUGAUGAAGGUCUUCGGAUCGGAAAACUCUGUUAUUAGGGAAGAACAUAUGUGUAAGUAACUGUGCAGAUCUUGACGGUAACUAAUCAGAAAGCCACGGCUAACUACGUG
rnacentral:rRNA from 1 species